UCUAAUCUUUCUGUAUUCUAUUUGUUUUCUUUUCAUUUAUUAUACAAUUAAAAAAAGCAAAAAAAAAAAAAAAGACCUCUAACACUAGCCUGCUCUUUUCUUUUUCUAUUCUAUCUGUUUACUUUUUAUUUAUUAUAUUAUUUAAAAGCCCUUGCUAUGUGUACUGUGUUAAGCUAACUGAGACUUGUUAUUGCACUUGUAUCAUGGUAACUGCUACAAUAUUUAGUUCAGUACAACAAAAAGAUACAUGCAGUCUUUACUAAGACGAUUCAUGUUUAAUACAACUUUAUACAGCUCUCAUUGCAGUUUCAACAGAAGCGCCCACUCAAAAAUCUUCACAAAUAGACACAUUAUGGUUUAUAGUGCUGGUUUCCACUGGUGUUGCUGUAAUUUUGUCUGGACUCACAGGAUUCCUCUGUCGUUGCUGGUUUGCAACCACAUCUCAGCCCAUAGGCCUCGAACACCCAGAGUCACAUCAGGACAGCACAGCAGUUCUCACAGACACUCGCUCUUUCAUUACAUCUGUAAAUCCAAUUCACCAGCCCUCAGAUGGUUUGGUCAAUAAAAAACGGAAAUGGAGAAACACAGAGGAAAAUGUG
ensembl:lncRNA